rnacentral:rRNA from 1 species
UACGUAGGGUGCGAGCGUUAACCGGAAUUACUGGGCGUAAAGCGUGCGCAGGCGGUUCGCAAAGUCUGAUGUGAAAGCCCCGGGCUCAACCUGGGAACUGCAUUGGAAACUAACGGGCUCGAGUGUGGCAGAGGGGGGUGGAAUUCCACGUGUAGCAGUGAAAUGCGUAGAGAUGUGGAGGAACACCGAUGGCGAAGGCAGCCCCCUGGGCUAACACUGACGCUCAGGCACGAAAGCGUGGGGAGCAAACAGG